AGUGAACGCUGGCGGUAGGCCUAACACAUGCCAGUCGAACGGCAGCACAGUAAGAGCUUGCUCUUACGGGUGGCGAGUGGCGGACGGGUGAGGAAUACAUCGGAAUCUACUUUUUCGUGGAGGAUAACGUAGGGAAACUUACGCUAAUACCGCAUACGACCUACGGGUGAAAGCAGGGGAUCUUCGGACCUUGCGCGAUUGAAUGAGCCGAUGUCGGAUUAGCUAGUUGGCGGGGUAAAGGCCCACCAAGGCGACGAUCCGUAGCUGGUCUGAGAGGAUGAUCAGCCACACUGGAACUGAGACACGGUCCAGACUCCUACGGGAGGCAGCAGUGGGGAAUAUUGGACAAUGGGCGCAAGCCUGAUCCAGCCAUACCGCGUGGGUGAAGAAGGCCUUCGGGUUGUAAAGCCCUUUUGUUGGGAAAGAAAAGCAGCAGGUUAAUACCCCGCUGUUCUGACGGUACCCAAAGAAUAAGCACCGGCUAACUUCGUG
rnacentral:rRNA from 1 species